rnacentral:misc_RNA from 1 species
GAUGAAGAACGCAGCGAAAUGCGAUAAGUAAUGUGAAUUGCAGAAUUCAGUGAAUCAUCGAAUCUUUGAACGCACAUUGCGCCCGCCAGCAUUCUGGCGGGCAUGCCUGUUCGAGCGUCAUUUCAACCCUCGAGCCCCCCCGGGGGCCUCGGUGUUGGGGGACGGCACACCAGCCGCCCCCGAAAUGCAGUGGCGACCCCGCCGCAGCCUCCCCUGCGUAGUAGCACACACCUCGCACCGGAGCGCGGAGGCGGUCACGCCGUAAAACGCCCAACUUUCUUAGAGUUGACCUCGGAUCAGGUAGGAAUACCCGCUGAGUUUAAGCAUAUCAAUAAGCGGAGGA